rnacentral:rRNA from 1 species
CCAUGCCGCGUGGGUGAUGAAGGCCUUAGGGUUGUAAGACCCUUUCGGCGGGGUAAGAGUAAUGACGGUACCGCAGAAGAAGCCCCGGCUAACUUCGUGC